GCUACCCAAAAAAGAAUAUAAGUUCAACCUUAAACUAAACAAUAACUAUUUAUAUUUUAAGGAAAAUCAAUAGGGGUACAGCCCUAUUGAAACAGGAUACAACCUGAAUUUGAGAGAAAUAAACCAUCACUAACCAGUAGGCCUUAAAGCAGCCAACUAACAAAAUAUCGUUAAAGAAUUAAGACAAAAACUCAAAUAUUUAACAAUAACUCCAAACCAAUUAAAGGUAGACCCAUAAUUAUGGGUAUUAUUAUGCUAGAACUAAUAAUAAGACAACCUCUCUAUAUGCACCUAUCAACUAGACCCGGAUAAACCACUAGCAAUUAACAGACCACAAUAGGUAUAAACCACCCAUUACACACCUAAAACAAACUGUGACCCCAACACAGGCGCAUUAUAAAGAAAGAUUAACUAUUAUAAAAGGAACUCGGCAAACAAAGACCCCAACUGUUUAACAAAAACAUAACCUUUAGCCAAACAAAUAUUAAAGGCAACGCCUGCCCAGUGAAUAAUUAAACGGCCGCGGUAUCCUA
rnacentral:rRNA from 1 species